GUCCAACGGUUGAGGUGGGCAGGACAUGUAGCACGCAUGGACAGGAACAGAGCCCCCUCAAUGUUAUUCCGAAAUGAUCCAGAAGGGCGAAGAGGAGUAGGACGCCCUAAAAUGCGAUGGAUAGAUGGCGUCGAAUCAGAUCUUCGGGCGCUGGGAAUAAGAGGCCAAGGCCCACAAGUGGCUGUAGCGCCGGUAAAGUAA